GUCCUCACUUUGGCAGGACAUAUGUGAAAAUUGGAACGCUGCAGAGAUUAGCAUGGCCCCUGCCUGAGGAUAACACCCAAAUUUGUGAAGCCUUCCAGAUUUCC